AGUUCAUAUUUGCACACUGGAGGAAAAUGUGGUGUUUGUUGAGCUCAUCUGCUGAUUUUCUUCCAAAUUGAAUAGUUUGAACGAGUAAAUAGAACACAAAAAUCAAAGUAAUUAAAAAUGAGAAAGUGUUAAAAAAACGUAGAAUAAUUUGUGAGCAUUUUGAACAUUGUGAGCUUUGAUAGUUGCCCAGUCGUCGAAUUAUUUGAAAGAAAGAAGCAAAAGUGAAAGAUGCUAUCAGGCUGAACCUCUUUGUGGGCAAAUCAACACAAACUUUAAGUCUCCUCCUUUGAACAAAUGUAUGCAGAAUUGAAAUGGUGAUCGAACGUAAUCUCGUCAACGCAAAUGACGAAAAACGAACGUUAGUUUGAAUUCAUCAAAUCUUUUCAUUGCAUUUUUUUUAUUGGAACUAAAUUUUUUUAAGGAAAAACAUCAAAGGAACUUUCAACAAUUUACCAUGAUUUAUCAUAUUAGAUUGUAAUGUUUGAGUAAAAAGAACUUCAUUUAACGUGUACUCCAUUUUGUUAUGUUUUUCACAUUGAAUUUCGUUUCAGUGUGAUAAAAUCACUGAACAUAAAAACAGAAUUUUAAGGAAUGUUAUCAAUAUAUUGAUAUUUUGAAUUGAUCGUGCCAUAUUUAUAAGUCGAAAGCUUGAUAUUUGGCCAGCUGGUUCAUUUUGCUUCAUUCAAAUGUCGAAAAUUUAUUUUCACUUGUUUGUGUUUUUUUUUAAACUUUAGUCACAUGAUUCGAAAGUUCUUUAAAAUAAAAGUUUUAUCUAUUAUUGAUGUGAAUAGAAUUUGCAACACCACAUGGUGUUUAGCUAUGGGUUCUAACUUUUUUUAUAUUUUAUAACUCGUCUUUAUUUUGUUUAAGUAUAAGCUCGGAUAACUUCACAGCCUUCUUUUCAAUGGUCGCCCAGAAGUCGAACGCCUUUUGAUUUGGCCUUGAUUUGAUUGUGACACCCUCAUUGUUUAUAUCAAUGACUUGAAUUUUCUCAUUUCGAACCGGUUGAAAUUCAUCGACUGGAUCACCUUCGUGGGAUGGUUCACUGUGCAAAAAUUGAGAAAACAAUGAAAAAAUGAAGAAUUUUAAUUUUUCAAUUAAAAUCUCAAUGGAACCUACCCAUAUUUGGCGAAAUUCGUAACAAUUUUGCUGAUACUUUCAAUGGCUCGGAUGCUGACUUUCGAUUUUUCGUCAUCUUUGCUGUUUACGAUUUCAUCGUAAAGAGUCCGAGCCAUUUCGCAUCUGAAAAUUCAACGAAUUUCAUUAAAUAAUUGUUUCAAAAUACUGCUUGUAAUAUUCACCGAAAAAGAUAAAACAAAUCGUCGCCAUGAGAAGCACCAGUGAUAUUGGCUACAUCAGCACUUCUAGGUAUGAAUGUGCUUAAUUUCGAAUCAACCGAAAACCUGU